rnacentral:rRNA from 1 species
GGCGUGUACUGCUUGGCUGGGCCUUACUUCUUGGUGAGCCGGCGUGCCCUUUAUUGGUGUGCGUCGGGGAACCAGGACUUUUACCUUGAGAAAAUUAGAGUGUUCAAAGCAGGCCUAUGCCUGAAUACAUUAGCAUGGAAUAAUAGAAUAGGACGUGCGGUUCUAUUUUGUUGGUUUCUAGAGUCGCCGUAAUGAUUAAUAGGGACAGUUGGGGGCAUUGGUAUUGAGUCGCUAGAGGUGAAAUUCUUGGAUUGACUCAAGACCGACUAUUGCGAAAGCAUUUGCCAAGGAUGUUUUCAUUAAUCAAGAACGAAGGUUAGGGGAUCGAAAACGAUCAGAUACCGUUGUAGUCUUAACAGUAAACUAUGCCGACUAGGGAUCGGAUGACCUCAAAAUUGAUGUGUCAUUCGGCACCUUACGAGAAAUCAAAGUCUUUGGGUUCUGGGGGGAAUAUGGUCGCAAGGCUGAAACUUAAAGGAAUUGACGGAAGGGCACCACCAGGUGUGGAGCCUGCGGCUUAAUUUGACUCAACACGGGGAAACUCACCAGGUCCAGACAUAACUAGGAUUGACAGAUUGAUAGCUCUUUCAUGAUUUUAUGGGUGGUGGUGCAUGGCCGUUCUUAGUUGGUGGAGUGAUUUGUCUGGUUAAUUCCGAUAACGAACGAGACCUUAACCUGCUAAAUAGCCAGGCCGGCUUCGGCUGGUCUCUGGCUUCUUAGAGGGACUGUCAG